CGGUGGAUUUUUUCUGCCUUGUGACAGACUAUGCUCUGGGGAAGGACUGCAUCAUGCACGGGUACAUGCUGAAGCUGGGGAACCCCUUCCUGACUCAGUGGCAGAGACGCUAUUUUUACCUCUUUCCAAACCGGCUUGAAUGGCGUGGAGAAGGAGAGUCACGGGACACCUGGCGCACUUACACAAAAAGACGCAAGCGGCAAAAUUUGCUGACUAUGGAACAGAUUUUGUCGGUGGAAGAA